ACCUACACACGUGAAAACUUUGAGAAAGCCUCUGCGAGAGGUAAUUGUAUUUCGACAGGAUAUCCCUUUCUAGUUGCUGAGGCCUUAUACUCCUCCAAUCCGUGAAUUAUGAAAUGCUCUCCAUUGACGCAAAUCCCCUCCCGCGGUUUCUCCAUGCCGCCAUGGUCUCUAGCGGCCAUGCCUUCCAACAUUCUACCUGCAAUUGUGUCAAAAUGCAGCGAUGGGAAUCAAAAGGCAAAGUUCGCCAUCAAGAAGCAUUAAUUUCUACUCGCCAGCGAGAGAUGUCCUGACGGGCACGGGCGCAAAUGACUGGCUCGCACAAUACCUGAGCGUAUUUUGAAAUGAUGAAAGAAAUAAAUUUCCAGAGAAGAUUCCCUGCGGACGUAUGAAUCUGAAAAGCCGG
rnacentral:sRNA from 2 species